rnacentral:rRNA from 1 species
GACGAACGCUGGCGGCGUGCUUAACACAUGCAAGUCGAACGAGGUCCAACCGGUGGCAACACCGGGGACGGCCUAGUGGCGAACGGGUGAGUAUCACGUGAGGAACCUGCCCCGAAGACCGGGAUAACCCUCCGAAAGGAGAGCUAAUACCGGAUGCCCUCACCGGACCGCAUGAUCUGGUGAGGAAAUGGAUUCCGCUUCGGGAGGGCCUCGCGGCCUAUCAGCUUGUUGGUGGGGUAACGGCCCACCAAGGCUUCGACGGGUAGCUGGUCUGAGAGGACGAUCAGCCACACUGGGACUGAGACACGGCCCAGACUCCUACGGGAGGCAGCAGUGGGGAAUCUUGCCCAAUGGGCGAAAGCCUGAGGCAGCAACGCCGCGU